rnacentral:tRNA from 1 species
GCGCCGGUGGCGGAGGCGGUGCGCGCGGCGGCGGUGAGCCCGCCGGCCACGGCGGCCAGCCGCUCGCCGACGACGAUCACCGCGCCAUCGGCGCGC